AAUCGAGAGAGGGAGGGGUAAGGACUGCCGGCCGCGGCGGCAGGGGUGGAAAAAGAAGCAGAGGGAGGAGUUGCUGCUGCCACCACAGCCUCCGCCACAGCCGCCGCGGCUACUGUGACUUGCCGGAGCGUGUGAGCGUGGAGGUUGCUUGCGUGGAUUUAUCGCUGCCUCUGUCCGAGUAGCUCUGGAGGUUUAUCCACAGGACAGAAAACAAAACAAAACAAAACCAAAAAAACAGGUAAGUCCUACAUCGGCUUCCCGUCAUCCCCUUCUACUGGAGGGGGUGUUCUGUGCUGUCAGUCUGUACCACC
rnacentral:lncRNA from 1 species